rnacentral:misc_RNA from 1 species
GAAAUGCGAUAAGUAAUGUGAAUUGCAGAAUUCAGUGAAUCAUCGAAUCUUUGAACGCACAUUGCGCCCUCUGGUAUUCCGGGGGGCAUGCCUGUUCGAGCGUCAUUACAAACUUCAAGCCUUCGGGUUUGGUGGUGGGCCACGUCCUCCCUCGGGAGUCCCGGCCUCAAAGUCAUUGGCGACGCCCUCCGGCUUCACGCGCAGUAGGACUCCUUUCUCGUGUGGAUGGUCCGGUGGCUCGUCCGCCACGAAACACCUCGCGGGGCCUCUGUGCCCUCUAAAGUUUGACCUCGGAUCAGGUAGGGAUACCCGCUGAACUUAA